rnacentral:rRNA from 1 species
CCUACGGGAGGCAGCAGUAGGGAAUCUUCGGCAAUGGGGGCAACCCUGACCGAGCAACGCCGCGUGAGUGAAGAAGGUUUUCGGAUCGUAAAGCUCUGUUGUAAGAGAAGAACGGGUGUGAGAGUGGAAAGUUCACACUGUGACGGUAUCUUACCAGAAAGGGACGGCUAACUACGUGCCAGCAGCCGCGGUAAUCCGUAGGUCCCGAGCGUUGUCCGGAUUUAGUGGGCGUAAAGCGAGCGCAGGCGGUUUGAUAAGUCUGAAGUAAAAGGCUGUGGCUCAACCAUAGUUCGCUUUGGAAACUGUCAAACUUGAGUGCAGAAGGGGAGAGUGGAAUUCCAUGUGUAGCGGUGAAAUGCGUAGAUAUAUGGAGGAACACCGGUGGCGAAAGCGGCUCUCUGGUCUGUAACUGACGCUGAGGCUCGAAAGCGUGGGGAGCGAACAGGAUUAGAUACCCCUGUAGUC